rnacentral:rRNA from 1 species
CUGCAGCUCAAGUGGUGAUCAUUAUUAUUGGGCCUAAAACGUCCGUAGCCUGUUUAGUAAAUGCCUGGGUAAAUCGUGUAGCUUAACUAUACGAAUUCCGGGUAGACUGCUAAACUUGAGACCGGGAGAGGCUAGAGGUACUCCUGGGGUAGAGGUGAAAUUCUGUAAUCCUAGGGGGACCACCAGUGGCGAAGGCGUCUAGCUAGAACGGGUCUGACGGUGAGGGACGAAGCCCUGGGGCACGAACCGGAUUAGAUACCCGAGUAGUCC